CCUUUCACCUCAGACAAAACAGAAGAAAACAGAGAAACCCCUAAGCUGUAAGCUCUGCUACCUCUUCCUCUGCUUCCUUCACGCCGAACCUCCACCACCGCCACAGCCUAAUCGCCGGAGCAGAACGAAGAAAGAAAACCAGCCCAGACAAAAGCUCACGCCUUCACCUCUGCUUCCUCUGCUUCCUUCACGCCGAACCUCCACCACCGCCACACAGAUCACAAACCCACUAAACAGUAUAGCUCGCUUAAACCCCAAAUCAGAACCAGAAUGAGUUAGGCAAAAAUUUCUGGUUUCCUCUGCUUCCUCCCUCUUCCAUCCUCUACUUCCUCUUGCCCAAAUCUCCACCACACCACACACCGAAGCAUACCGCCACACAAGUCACCGGAUUCAUUGCUAGAGCUUGUAAACAUGCCGAAGCCACCGUGAGCAUGGUGUUGCGAUGCAAAGUUACCUAAACCCAGUUUUAGAAGAUUCAAAAGAAUGUUACUUAUUGUAUGAUAGGAUUGCUGAAUCUUCUUUCAUAUUUGGCUACCAUAAAGGGUUGGUGCUCUUACUUGAACUCGGUCUUUUCUUCCUUUGCUUUUCUCUUUCUGAGUGUUAUUCAAGUGUGAAGCAACUAAUUGAAAUUUCUACUUUUGCCCUUUUUUGUUUGGUACCUGAUCUAUUCAUAGUAGUUAAUGAACCACUUGAAAGCAUUUCUGUAGAUCUUCAUUUCAGUGGGAAUACUUUGGCAGAAGUACAUGUCUAGGUGGUGCCGUAGUUGGAGCGCUACUCAGUGGUUGGAUUGCUGAUGGGGUUGGUUGACGUAGAGCUUUUCAGUUGUGUGCUUUGCCUAUGAUUGUUGGUGCUUCUAUGAGGAUCCAUUACAACAAUUCCAAGAAAGUUGAUGUACAAACCUUGUUUGUGUCCAAGAGAAUGGAUUGGGAAGCAAAUAUUUUUUGGUUGUAUAAAGUUUAAAUUGUGGUGGAUAGACAUAGAAGCAUCUUCUUUUUUGUAUUCCCAACGUAGGGUCCUCUUUUUUGUAUUUUGAACUAUAACAGGUUUUAUUCCAGAUGAAUGUAUUCUCAAUUAGAAACUCUUAUAAAAAAAAUUGUGAUAGGUUUUAUUCAGGUGAAUGUAUUCUCAAUUAGAAACUCUUAUAGAAAAAAUUGUGACAGGUUUUAUUUUAGGUAAAUGUAUUCUCAAUUAGAUACUUUUAUAGAAAAAAUU